rnacentral:rRNA from 1 species
GCCCGUUGGGACUCUUGAAGUCUUAGUGGCGCAGCUAACGCACUAAGUUGACCGCCUGGGGAGUACGGCCGCAAGGUUAAAACUCAAAUGAAUUGACGGGGGCCCGCACAAGCGGUGGAGCAUGUGGUUUAAUUUGACGCAACGCGAAGAACCUUACCUGGCCUUGACAUGCAGAGAACUUUCCAGAGAUGGAUUGGUGCCUUCGGGAACUCUGACACAGGUGCUGCAUGGCCGUCGUCAGCUCGUGUCGUGAGAUGUUGGGUUAAGUCCCGUAACGAGCGCAACCCCUAUCCCUAGUUGCUAGCAGUUCGGCUGAGAACUCUAGGGAGACUGCCGGUGACAAACCGGAGGAAGGUGGGGAUGACGUCAGGUCAUCAUGGCCCUUACGGCCAGGGCUACACACGUGCUACAAUGGUGCGUACAGAGGGCUGCAAACCCGCGAGGGGGAGCUAAUCUCACAAAACGCAUCGUAGUCCGGAUCGGAGUCUGCAACUCGACUCCGUGAAGUCGGAAUCGCUAGUAAUCGCGAAUCAGAAUGUCGCGGUGAAUACGUUCCCGGGCCUUGUACACACCGCCCGUCACACCAUGGGAGUGGAUUGCACCAGAAGUGGUUAGUCUAACCUUCGGGAGGACGAU